UACGGAGGAUGCAAGCGUUAUCCGGAUUUAUUGGGCGUAAAGCGUCCGCAGGUGGUUUUCCAAGUCUGCUGUUAAAGCGCGAGGCUUAACCUCGUACAGGCAGUGGAAACUGGAUGACUAGAGUAUGGUAGGGGUAGCGGGAAUUCCCGGUGUAGCAGUGAAAUGCGUAGAUAUCGGGAGGAACAUCUGUGGCGAAGGCGACACCCUGGACCAGCACUGACACUGAGGCACGAAAGCGUGGGGAGCAAACAGG
rnacentral:rRNA from 1 species